CGUACUGCCUCAGUGUUAGUGGCAGGGGAGCUGGAGUUCAAGACCCGGGGUUUUGUAUGCAAUGUUUACUAAGGAUGUCUGAAAGAACCAGUCUAAUCUAGGAGGCUGGCAAUGCGCUCUUGCAGCUCCUUUGAAGACCCCACUCGCCGGUGCCUCCCCGGGCUGACACCACAUUCCUGCGGAGUCUGCACCGUGCCGGGGGUGAAGGGCUUGAGAUCACUGGCAGGACUGGGAAGAAAGCAGUCCUCCAAGCCAGCCCAGCUCCGCGGGAGCCAGCGGCAGAGUUGGCAGGUGGGGGCCCGUUUCUCACGUCUCCCUGGCAUUCCCCACCUCAUCAUUUCCUGUGAGAGCCUAGGGUGCUGCAAAGGAAGGAAAAAAAUUGCUCCAUACGUGACAAUAGGAACGUCGCAUAGAGCACGUGGCAACCAAAGUGUUAACUAGCCUGUCCAGCAAGCAGUGCAAGUCUCCAAUGGAGAAAGUCGCCGGCGAGACCACGUGUUGAACUGCAAGCUGUGUCCGGUAACGUUGCACACACACAGUGGAGCCACAGUUUUACCAAAAAGCAUCUGACGUGUAUAAAUGCAUCUGCCACAACCAACGUAUCUCCUGAGAAGGGUAGCUGCUAGCCAAAGGGCCCACAGCGGAAGAGCUUUGCUUCGGUGCUUGUCCUUGGAAGCAGAAUGACGUGGCUACCCGGUCGAUUGUUUCUCAGACCUCAGCCUUUGGAAGUUGUCUUUCCACAUGCCCGUCGGAAGGCAGUCUCUAGCGUCUGCCCUGCAACACGCUGCAGCCCAGUGACUCCCGCUUUGGGGGGUCAAGGCAGCCCCCACUGGUCUCGAGGCACUCCUCCACAACUUUGUGAAUGGAACAGCGCCCAAUUAAAAAAAAGAAGUGAUGUGUUGCAGUGCCUGCCUCCUUGCAGAGGGCUGGGCAGGGGGGGCAAGCCUGAGCCUGCACUUAUCUGCUUUUCUGCUUAUCUUCUCUCACCGCACCUUGCCACACCCUUCAAAGGACCUGGCAGCACCCCUGCCUGGCCUGCCGUGGCACCCUGGUCGAGAGUCACUGCUAGAGACAGUGCAGCUGUCUGACGUGUCACAAGAUGAAUCUGUAGAUGUCCGCUGGGGGAUUCCUACAAGCAUUAUUUUCCUGGGUUGGAUUUGGGAUCCAAUAGAAGAAACAUUACAGUUUCCCAGCUUGUCAUACCCUAUAAACGUGACUCAGACCUUAGUUUGUGCAGGUGUAAAACUGCACUUUCGAGGCUGUUUCAGCACUUGCCCGUACAAUUAUGAUCGGCAAUAACAUUAAAACCCCACAACUUCCAAAGGCCAAAGCACGUAAGGGCAAAUCAGGGAAAGCAAAGCAGCCAGAUUUUGGAAGUCUCCACAGUGCCCAGUUCCUGGUGGUCAGGCUGUUCAUUCCUCACAUUCAUGGCAACCACAUACCCUGACACUGCAGCAAGGACGUGUGUGUAUGCAGCAGCUCUGCCCUCUGGUCUCGCACUGCAGAAGGAGCCGACAAGCCCACAAGUUCUGACAAGCUUCAACAUCGGCACCUAGGUGUGAGCCAAGAAACGCCGGGCAUUGCCAGGUCUGCAGCACUAUCCUGAGCGUGCUCGCGCAGGAGCGUGCUGCCUGCUGCUCCGGCUUGCCCUGAUGUCACAUUCCUGACGGAUGUUUUACAAAGCGGUCUGCUACUGCCAUGUGAACCGGGGGGGGCAAACCUGACACAUGCCAAGUGUGCUGUGCAGUAAGUGCCAUGCUGUGAUCAGCAGCGGGCUAAAACACAUACCACGAAGCCUGAAGUAGCUCAGGCAAGGAGACCUUGUGCUCACUUGCCCACGUUGCAUGGCUCAGUGAUCCUUGUCACGGGCCGUCGGACCUGACGGGCAGGCGCAGAACUCAUGAGAAGGCCUCCAGCCCGCCCGGGUUGAGACGUGCAGAGCCUCGACGCGGGCACAGAUCCUGGGUCUGAUGCAGCCUGUACCGGGUGCCAGGCAGGAGCGUCCUGUCUCUCAGCAGUGACACUGGCAGUAACUUGCCCACGUCUACUGAGCUGUAAGACAAUUGCUUAGGAAGUACCUGUAGAGUUAUAGCAUCACCUGGAUGCCUUUGUGGCCUUCACGCUGACAAGAAGUGUUCUUCAUGAAAGGGCCUGUGAGAGCCACGGAUGUCUAUGCAGGGCCGGCUCCCAUUGCUUUUCUGGCUCUUGUCCAGGGAGGUCCCAACCGGGGCUGCCCCGGCGGCGCGGGGCCGUUCUGUGGCUUGCAUUGCUGCCUACGGAAACAAGGGUGCUCUGGUGAUGCCCCGCGGAUGUGCCAGGGGGACCCGACCUUCCUGCGCCCAGCGCCCGGCAGCCCGGCUUGCGCACAACCGCUGCCUGCCGGCCAAUAGCAGCACAGCUGGAUGUUUCUCAGAGUGAUUUGUUAUGUUCUCAUGACGGUGGUGAUCCCAGAUUGGACUCGAUCCAGGAUCACGGUGGGAAAAUGCUUAGACAAAGUACAGCAGCGAGCAAUGCUCCUGAGGGAUGUGCUGUGUACGUCUGUCCUGGAAGGCAAGCUCGCAAGAGAGCGGUCAAAGAUGCAUCAGGCUGCGCCUGCAUUAGAGAGAUGCCGCAGCCCGAGAGCGGGGAAGCCCGCAGGGGCUUGGCGCGCGAGGAGUGGAACCGGGGGCAGGGGGCAGCUGGCCCAGCCGUGAAGCUCAGCUCUGGGUGAAACAAAUCUGGAGCCAGGCCCCGCCUAGCGGGGAGGUGCCCCAGCCCGUUCUUCUCUCCCUCUCACUAGCGCCUUCUGCAUCGGCAAGGGUCCCCGUGCAGGCUUCUCGCCCCACUCGAGUCCGCGACGCGGAGGUGCGAGGCUGCCAGGCGCAGCAGGAUGGGACGCCCCCGUGCCAGCGCUUUACAGUAUCCUCGCUCUGCGGAGCGCUCCGAUGUCUUGCUUGGAGCUUGGUGGGCAAACAGACAUGGCACAAAAAGCCCUUUCUUCAUUUCAGCUUCAGGCUAUUCCUUUCCUUCAGAGGACGACAAUAGCUACUUCCAGAUGACACAGCCACUACAUGCACAGAUGCACAUAUUCACGACACCCAUAGCUUACUCAUUGUAACUGAGACUGUACUGGCAUUUGUUAGCGAUGUCCAUUCACGCUAAAAAACCCUCUUGUCCUCGUGGAGCUGUAUUUCUAAGGAUCUCUUUCUUCUUCUUUAUCACAGAAGAGACUGUGGUGCUUUUUUUUCUUGCUCUGUCUUAGCAUUCAGUUAUCUGAUAACUCUUUAUCCUAAGCACUUUGAUGCUACAAUUCAGAUUUCAAGUGAUGGGAUUCCCUGUUUCCUAGCCCUCCCCUUAGCCCAGGCUGUCUGCAGACGGAGAGCUCCUGGCCAGCCUCAGACUGGAAGCCGGGCUGCAACAUUAACUCCAUGCUUUGAAGUUGCUACAUGAGCACAGUAUGAAGUUAGGUGUUUUUUAUUCAGAUAUUUUCUGUGAAUGAGAAUAAAAGUCCGAUAAAAGUGCUGUUCGGAGCUGAUCAGAGCCCGAUGCACAAAGAGACAAAUGUAGGGAAGGCUUACUGCUGCACAAACGUAUGUGUCCCCCAUUUUAUGUUUAUUCUUAGAUGUUUAAAAUCACCUCAUUUCUGGGUCAAAUGUCGCUCUGAAAUUCCUUGUAUUUAUUUUUACAGUAAGAUGAAAUAAUCAGAAUGUCCCGAUGCUUCUCUGUGAUAAAUGGUGUUAGCUUGCAUUACAAACAGUGGUUGGGACUUCAUCUGCGGUGGAUUUGGAGGGAACAGCAGCAGAGAGCUGGGAACACAUCUCUCGGUCGGAUGCAAGAAGUGGGCGAUGACCCUGCGGCGGCGUGGGGCAGAGUCCAUCUCACAGGGGCAGCAGCGACCAUCGGGCAGCGGGCGGGAGGCAGCGCAUGAGAGCGGCCCAGCUGGGCCCAGGGUGACAAGCAGCAGCGGGCCCUCCCUCGCUCUCUCCGCCCUUGGGCCUGGGCUUCAUGGGGAAUGGUUUUAUGAACAAUUCGGGACUCUCCUCUCCUCCUGACUGGGGCGCAGGGGUCGAUUUCUUCCUGCCGCACCGUCUGCCCGAGGGCGACACAGGAAAGCCUGCAGCGGCCUGCUUUGCAAAUGGCCCAACGGAGAAGUCCCUUCCCAAGCCCUGAUCACUCGAGGCUGGGUCACAUCCCUUCCAGGACUGCGGCUCAUCGCCCACAUUUAUCGUCCUGACGCCCGAGAGGCCACGUCAGCCCUCAUCGUACCGACCCCUCUCUGACUCGUGGCAGUGACGGCGAUGGGGUCCAUGGACCGGCUACUUGUGACGGGAGAAAGUCUCUUCUCUUAUCGCGGCGCUUCCUGCUGCUUCGUGGGCCGUUGCCAGCUGGGCUUGUCCUCAGCGCCACGCACCAGCACAGCAUCUGCCCAGCGUGAAAACGGCCUCUCCGUGGCUGCCGCUGCCUUCCUCGCAGCAAGGAACGAGGCCAGAUUUGAGGGGGAGACGACUAGCUCCACGAAGCAAGAGCGUCUUAGACCUGGUCGCGUGAGCCAUAGGGACAGACCUGCAGGCGCGAGGUCUGCCACUGCUCGGCUACCUGCGGGGCUCGACAGGGAGGUACGGUGGCGGAGCAAACAGAAGCUUGAAAGGGAUUUGGCCAUUUCGCCAGGGCAUCACAAAAAGGGAAUUGUCUUGCAGAAACAUUUCUUUAGUCAAUAGUAUGUUUUAAUUAAAUACAUUCAUCAUUUACCAGAGUUUGUAUUUCAGGCACCCUCGAAGUCAGCAUGCACUCAGAGGAAGUCUCGAGGUCGGCUUUUCUCCCAGACUUUUCCGGGGCUGCACAGCUGAGGGCCCCAUGUUAUAUAAACAGUUAGUGCACUCAUGUCUCGUGGCACGCUCGAUUUGAGGGAAUCAAUUAUGGGACAUAU